rnacentral:sRNA from 1 species
AAAAGUUUUAUUUUAGUAACUAAUCGUGUGUUAAUGUGGAGAGAUUUAGGGAAGAUUGUCAAAUCUCAAAUAUUAAAUUCGAAGAUUUUUUUCUAAUUAUCAAAAACAAACAUUAAAAUCUAGUGACAGCCAUUGUAAAUAAGUCUCAACUACAUGAUUUAUUUCACAAAAUGGCUUCAAAAAUGUAUAUGUAGAUAAUUAGUUCUCAGGUUAUAA